AAACUGACGGAACUCUUCGGAGGGAAGGCAGCGGAAUGAGCGGCGGACGGGUGAGUAACACGUAAGGAACCUGCCUCAAGGAUUGGGAUAACUCCGAGAAAUCGGAGCUAAUACCGGAUAGUUCAACGGACCGCAUGGUCCGCUGAUGAAAGGCGCUUCGGCGUCACCUUGAGAUGGCCUUGCGGUGCAUUAGCUAGUUGGUGGGGUAACGGCCCACCAAGGCGACGAUGCAUAGCCGACCUGAGAGGGUGAUCGGCCACACUGGGACUGAGACACGGCCCAGACUCCUACGGGAGGCAGCAGUAGGGAAUCUUCCACAAUGGACGAAAGUCUGAUGGAGCAACGCCGCGUGAGUGAUGAAGGUUUUCGGAUCGUAAAACUCUGUUGUAAGGGAAGAACACGUACGAGAGGUAAUGCUCGUACCUUGACGGUACCUUACGAGAAAGCCACGGCUAACUACGUGCCAGCAGCCGCGGUAAUACGUAGGUGGCAAGCGUUGUCCGGAAUUAUUGGGCGUAAAGCGCGCGCAGGCGGCCUUUUAAGUCUGAUGUGAAAGCCCCCGGCUCAACCGGGGAGGGCCAUUGGAAACUGGAAGGCUUGAGUACAGAAGAGAAGAGUGGAAUUCCACGUGUAGCGGUGAAAUGCGUAGAGAUGUGGAGGAACACCAGUGGCGAAGGCGACUCUUUGGUCUGUAACUGACGCUGAGGCGC
rnacentral:rRNA from 1 species